UCGAACGGUAACGCGGGGCAACCUGGCGACGAGUGGCGAACGGGUGAGUAAUGUAUCGGAACGUGCCCAGUUGCGGGGGAUAACUGCUCGAAAGAGCAGCUAAUACCGCAUACGACCUGAGGGUGAAAGCGGGGGAUCGCAAGACCUCGCGCAAUUGGAGCGGCCGAUAUCAGAUUAGGUAGUUGGUGGGGUAAAGGCCUACCAAGCCUACGAUCUGUAGCUGGUCUGAGAGGACGACCAGCCACACUGGGACUGAGACACGGCCCAGACUCCUACGGGAGGCAGCAGUGGGGAAUUUUGGACAAUGGGGGCAACCCUGAUCCAGCCAUGCCGCGUGCGGGAAGAAGGCCUUCGGGUUGUAAACCGCUUUUGUCAGGGAAGAAAUCCUUUGAACUAAUACUUCGAAGGGAUGACGGUACCUGAAGAAUAAGCACCGGCUAACUACGUGCCAGCAGCCGCGGUAAUACGUAGGGUGCAAGCGUUA
rnacentral:rRNA from 1 species